AUCAAGUAUAAAAACCUACAAAUUCAUGGUAGAUGGUAGAAAGCAAUAUUUUAUCGGCUACAUGAAAGUAGUAAUUGAUUCCCAAGGAUGUGCCUGAGCCAUUGUUAAGAGGACGACGAUAUCACCACCAUGCAGGACAAAGAAGCAAGAUGAAAAGAAACAAACUUGUGGUUACCAGAUACCAGAAAUUG